UACGUAGGGUCCCGAGCGUUGUUCGGAAUUACUGGGCGUAAAGCGUGUGUAGGUGGUUGUCAUAGUCAGGUGUGAAAGCCUUGAGCUCAACUCAAGAAAUGCACUUGAUACUGGGCAACUAGAGGACCGGAGAGGAUAGUGGAAUUCCCAGUGUAGUGGUGAAAUACGUAGAGAUUGGGAAGAACACCAGUGGCGAAGGCGGCUAUCUGGACGGUUUCUGACACUAAGACACGAAAGCGUGGGGGAGCAAACAGGG
rnacentral:rRNA from 1 species